AAAUCGGGACGGGGUCAAUGCGGCGGCUCAAGCGGCUGGGGGCGGCGCGGCGGCUCGAUGUAGAUCGGCGUCAGCGGUUGGAGCUUGCAGGGGGCGGAUCCGUGCACGGCAGGGGCUGGGGAGGCGGAUCAGGAGGCCGGCGGCGAGGUGGGGUCACCAGUGACGACAAGGAUGGCCGGAGCGCGGAUUCCCUGGCGGAUCCAUGGAGUCUGAGGCUCCUAGGCAAGGAAGGGAAGUGAGGGAGAGAAGGAGGGAGUAAGGAGGGGCGGCGCAGCGACCUAGGCAGGAGCUUGCCGGAGCCGGGCGAUGGUGGACGGGCACGGGAGACAGAGGGAUCCGGCGUGGCGGCGCGAAGUCCUUGCAGGUGGCGCACCUCGGCCGUCAUCGAGGCCACCGCCGCCACCUGCCGGUGCAACGAGGCAGAGGAGGAUCUCCUGGUUUUGCUUCGUCGCCAACUCCAUGUUCACGGUCGUGGUUCUAAUCCCUCUCUUGCCACUCCACUGUUUUGAUUUAUUGUAUACGUGCAGUUCAUCUCCCAGUGACCCAGUCGCUGGCUGGAUGUGUCUAUAUCUCUCAUCAUUUUGUCAAAUCAGAUAACCUAUCAGUAGGAAAUUAUUUUCCUCCACUUUGCAAGACCACAUAACCAAUUUACUAUCAGCGGUCUAUACGAUUAAUUUCUAACUUUGCAGGAUCAUUCUGACUCGGCAUCUGUCACUCUAACAAGUGUUCGUCUUUAAUGUCCUACACUAUAUUCUGCAACAAAAUUUGCCCUGUGUGCAUGAGUACCAAUAAUUUGGGUUAUUUCGUUUUGUUGAAAUGAUGAUAAAAUUGAGUUAAGCGAGUUGGAGCUACUGCACCCCUAGCCUGAGUGGAAUGAGCUCAUGGAGCGCCUCGAAGGCCCCGACAACGGUGGCAGUAGGCGUUGCCAUUAGAUCUGGAGGUAGAGGGAGUCACCACGAGGAGCGGCAACCGAAGACAGGCAGCAUCGACUGUGUCAAGCAAGCUGUAGGAGGCCUGCGCGACUCCUUGCCGAUCACUUGACAGUCCAAGCCUGCAAUAGUGUCGAUUCAGGUAGGCGUGUGGCAUGGCCGAAUCCUGCCCGAUCAAGGCCAACCAAUGGACAUGUUGUAUGCAUCGAUGUCCCAAUCCAGCAGGCAAUACAUGUCUGCAAACAGUCCUGAAAAAAGUCAUUCGAUAAGAAAAAAACUCAGGAAAGUAUGGUGGUUCUACGUCACUAGGCAAAUCAGAAGAGACUACCCAUCUAUAAUGACAGGUGGUGGUAGACACCUGAAUUGUAGUGAUGCAUUCUCUUCCGACAGGCUCCAAAUGAUGGUUAUUCUGUAGGAUUGGGAGAUGGAUGUAUUGUCCUUGUCCGUGCCGUUUGCUUUUGUGGGAAGAAAAAAAUGUUGAGUUUCAUGGUUCGCAGUGUGGUUUUCGAUGGUGGAUGUGACAUCCGACGAUUGCCGAGGAAGAAAGGUGCAGGGGAGAGAAUCAAUUUGUGGUUUAUGAAUGGAAACCUUGUGCCAACAUGUUUGAUAUGUUUGCUUAUUACUAUAUGUUUGCUUAUUACUCAAUGGUUGCAUUGGCAAAUGGGGCCUCAACAAUCUCUUGUGCCAUUUGAACUUUAAUUUGAUUAUCGAUGAAGCAAGAUAUUCUAGAUUUAUCGAAUCCUAUUUUUUUCAUCAGAUCGAUAUGGUUGUCUGUAUGAACUACGGCAUAAGCUUCUUUGAGCAGCUUUUGACGGUGUUUCCAUCUUUUAAUUUCUCAGCAAUUGCAAGUACCAACCUCAGAGUUGAAAGUAAGUGAUGCAUAUUUUUCACGGAUCAAAUAGGAAUCACUACCACAGUACUGGCCUAACUUCUGUACUAAUGCCUACAUCAACCGCCUGGGAAGAAGUUCUAGGUACAUCUAUUGAAUCGGUCGGUUUAUCUUCCUUUAUCUAUAACUCGAUAUAGAUAUUAGGCCAAGUAGGCUAUUACAGUACAGGUGGACCACUUUUAGACAUGCCAUAUUCUUUGUCUGAAUAACAAAAUUAUUUUCACAUGGAAACCUCACACAAAAUCGUUGUUUAAAUCAUUGUUGGAUGUUCCAUUCUUUGAUUAUUUUGUUACAUUCAAACUAAGAAUAAUGCAAGAAAAAAAACCUUCAUUGUUCUAGAGAGGUGUUGGAGGCUCAGAGCUGCAUAUUCUAAUGAUAUAACUGUCAAUUACAAAAUAAGACCAAACACUAUUUCUACGAAUUAGCAUCAAGUUGCCAGGAGCAGUGAAGCGCCAAUAAUGGUCAACUAUGGUGCUUGAGGAGAUGGAUAUAUGUAGUUGUAAGGUUGCAGAUAUAGGCUGGAGCAAUAUGUAAGUACUAUUACAGAAUUACUUCAGCUUAUGCUGAGUGUUUCCAUUAGCUAGAUGGUUGUGCUUCAUGUCCUAGGAUCACAUGCCCUUUAUGUUCAGAGUACGGUCUGAUUAUGAAUAAGAUAAUAAAAGGGUCGUUACUUCUAACUAGACAUUUUGUUAAUUUCCAGUUGAAGGCUUCCACGCGCCACCUCCUUCUCCCCCUCCUUCGCCGGGUCGAGAAGGGAGCAGCGACGAAGCAGAGGUAGACGUGGACACGUGGUAGGAGCCAAGGGGGGAACGGGGAAAGGCGGACGCGAGAUCCGUGAAGCCAGAGAAGGUACAUGAGCUUGUCCACCGCAGGCUAUAGCUCCAAAAUCGGCGGUGUCAGCCGCCACCAGUGCCACCGUGUUCGCCUCCGGCUGGCCUGGUAGCAACAAAAGUAUGGCUACAGGUGUGGUUCAUUCAGUUUUGUAGUUCGAUUUACUUGCUUGUGCAUAUGUGCGUGUAUACUGAGAGAGAGGGAGAGAUUAUUCUGUUCUAGCAGUCAUAUUUCUGUCGCAAAUCUGCUCCCCUCCACUCCUUUUUCAUUUAACUGAAAUCUGAAUGUGUAAAGCAGUUGCAAAUUAAGAGCAGCAGAGUAAAUGUCAAAAGUU